GAAUCCGAGCAUCCUACCCCCGAUUCCGAUAUGACCAACUAAUACACCUCCUCUGAAAAAAUUUCCUCCCACUGACACUAGCUCUCUGCAUAUGACACAUCUCACUGCCCAUUAUAACAGCAGGCAUCCCACCCCAAACAUAAAAUAAGAAAUAUGUCUGACAAAAGAAUUACUUUGAUAGAGUAAAUAAUAGAGGUUUGAGUCCUCUUAUUUCUAGAAUAAUAGGAAUCGAACAUACCCUUAAGAAUUCAAAAUUCUCCGUGCUACCACACUACACCAUAAUCUAUAGUAAGGUCAGCUAAAUAAGCUACCGGGCCCAUACCCCGGAAAUGUUGGUUCAUAUCCUUCCCAUACUAAUUAACCCAUUCGUCUCUAUCACCCUACUAACAACCAUCGUCCUAAGCACAACAAUUGUAACCAUUAGCUCCCAUUGACUGUUCGCCUGAAUUGGACUAGAAAUAAAUAUGAUAGCCAUCAUUCCUAUCAUAAUAAAAAAACCUAAUCCUCGAGCCACAGAAGCCUCAGCCAAAUACUUUCUAACACAAGCCACAGCAUCCUCAUUACUUAUACUAGCAAUUAUUAUUAACCUAAUACACUCCAGCCAAUGAACCAUCAUAAAAUUAUUCGACCCAACAGCAUCCAUUCUAAUAACAAUAGCUUUAGCCAUUAAACUAGGAUUAUCCCCUUUUCACUUUUGAGUACCAGAAGUUACACAAGGUGUUCCCCUAAGCACAGGACUAAUCCUACUUACGUGACAAAAACUCGCACCCAUCUCAAUCCUUUAUCAAAUUUCACCAUCAAUCAAUCUACACCUAAUAAUUACUAUAUCCUUCCUAUCAAUUCUAAUCGGAGGCUGAGGUGGACUAAACCAAACACAACUCCGAAAAAUCAUAGCCUAUUCAUGAAUUGCUCACAUAGGAUGAAUAACCGCUAUUUUAUUAUACAACCCAGCCCUCACCCUACUAAAUCUAUUAAUUUACAUUGUAAUAACCUUCACCAUAUUUAUGCUACUUAUCCAAAACUCCACUACCACCACACUACUACUAUCCCAAACAUGAAAUACAAUACCUGUUAUAACAACCUUUACUAUGCUUACCCUACUCUCCAUAGGAGGACUUCCUCCACUCACAGGCUUUAUACCCAAAUGAAUGAUUAUUCAAGAACUAACAAAAAACGACACCCUCAUCCUACCCACCCUCAUAGCCAUCACAGCUCUACUCAACCUAUAUUUCUAUAUACGCCUUACCUACUCCACAGCAUUAACCCUGUUCCCCUCUACCAACAACAUAAAAAUAAAAUGACAAUUCCACUCCACAAAACAAAUAACCCUUUUACCAACAGCAAUCGUACUAUCCACAAUACUCCUACCUCUUACACCAGCACUCUUUAUCCUACUAUAAGGGUUUAGGUUAAAUAAGACCAAGAGCCUUCAAAGCCCUAAGCAAGUAUAAUUUUACUUAACCCCUGCCCAAUAAGGAUUGCAAGACCAUAUCUCACAUCAAUUGAAUGCAAAUCAAACACUUUAAUUAAGCUAAAUCCUCACUAGAUUGGAGGGAUACAUCUCCCACGAACUUUUAGUUAACAGCUAAAUACCCUAAUAAACUGGCUUCAAUCUACUCCCGCCGCGAGAAAAAAAGGCGGGAGAAGUCCCGGCAGGAUUGAAGCUGAUUCUUUGAAUUUGCAAUUCAAAAUGAUUAUUCACCACAGGACUUGGCAAAAAGAGGACUUUACCCCUGUCUUUAGAUUUAUAGUCUAAUGCCUACUCGGCCAUUUUACCUAUGUUCAUAAACCGAUGACUAUUCUCUACCAAUCACAAAGACAUUGGUACUCUGUAUUUACUAUUUGGCGCCUGGGCAGGAAUAGUGGGUACUGGUCUAAGCUUGUUGAUUCGUGCUGAAUUAGGUCAACCUGGCACACUUAUCGGAGACGACCAACUUUAUAAUGUUCUAGUAACAGCUCACGCCUUCGUAAUAAUUUUCUUUAUGGUUAUACCUAUCAUAAUUGGGGGAUUUGGAAACUGACUAGUUCCCUUGAUAAUUGGAGCCCCUGACAUAGCAUUCCCUCGUCUAAACAACAUAAGCUUCUACUUCCCCCUUCCUUUCUACUACUGAUAGCAUCUUCAAUAAUUGAAGCCGGCGCAGGAACAGGCUGAACUGUAUAUCCUCCUCUAGCCGGAAAUCUAGCACACGCAGGAGCCUCAGUAGACCUUACUAUUUUCUCUCUACAUUUAGCCGGUGUAUCUUCAAUCCUUGGGGCUAUUAACUUCAUUACAACUAUUAUUAAUAUAAAACCACCCGCUAUAACCCAAUACCAAACACCUCUCUUCGUCUGAUCAGUCUUGGUCACAGCAGUCUUACUCUUACUAUCACUACCCGUCUUAGCAGCCGGAAUUACUAUACUAUUAA